UGGGAGACACAAUGACUGGA
rnacentral:misc_RNA from 1 species